rnacentral:tRNA from 1 species
GGAGGUGUAGCUCAGUUGGUUAGAGCAUUCGCCUGUUAAGCGACAGGUCACCGGUUCGAGUCCGGUCUCCUCCGC